rnacentral:rRNA from 1 species
UACGUAGGGUGCAAGCGUUAAUCGGAAUUACUGGGCGUAAAGCGUGCGCAGGCGGUUCGUUAUGUCCGUUGUGAAAGCCCCGGGCUCAACCUGGGAAUGGCAAUGGAAACUGGCGGGCUAGAGUGUGGCAGAGGGGGGUGGAAUUCCGCGUGUAGCAGUGAAAUGCGUAGAGAUGCGGAGGAACACCGAUGGCGAAGGCAGCCCCCUGGGCUAGCACUGACGCUCAGGCACGAAAGCGUGGGGAGCAAACAGG